ACGCUGGUGGUGUUAGGAGUAGCAUCGCUGCUCAAAAAGCAGAAGGUGCGCGUUCGAGUCCCGCCUAGCGUA
rnacentral:tRNA from 1 species